UUUAAAAAAUACUAAUCUUAUGUGGACAUGAAUUACGGUGAACAAGUUUGUUCACUUUUUACUUUUUUUUAUAAGCUUUAAAGUAACUAAAUGUUGGUUCAAUUCAUUGAUAUCAGACAGUAGUGGUUAAAUUAACCAAUGUAAACAAAGCAGACAGCAGUGCAAAGCAGAAUAACCUGACUGACCUUGACCUGUCACUACAGGUGGCUCACCAACCAGUCAGGUCUACAGUUGAUUGAAAAUCCAGGCUAUCCCUAUCUGGUGUCUGUCACUACAAGAGUCAAUGGAAUUCUCACUUCCUGUCACUUUUCAUUCAAUUUAUAAAAAUAAAUGUUACUUCAGUUGUAUUCCACAAAAUAACACUUUAAAGUACAGGUUUAUUACAUAAAAUCACUGUUUCAAUAUAUUAAUUUCUACUCUGAAGAUAGUUAUAAAAUGUUUAAUUUACAGUUCCAAUAUUAUAAGUUAAACAUGUGGUUUCAACUUAGAUCAAGAUACAGCAGACGUGGACCAGCAGUCGACGACGGUGGGACCGAGCCAGCCACCUCCGUCGUCUACUUUAAUGAACAGUAACAAUCAGAAACAUCCUCUUCCGACUCAGAAAUCGAAGCGCUGCCUGCCAUAGAAAAUAUUGGAGACGCCGUAGGAAUAUCGGAAGGAGAAGAUAACCCAGAGGCCUCAAUGACGGCAAUGGCAGGCAGCAUCGAACGAUUGUGAAGAGACGAUGCAGCAAAAGACUAAAGCACUAAAAGCAGAAGAUUGACUCGAAGAUUGACUCCUCCCUACCCUGAUUGACUCCCCUUACCCUGAUUGACCCCCCUUACCCUGAUUGACCCCCCCUACCCUGAUUGACUCCCCCCUACCCUGAUUGACAAAUCAUUACCCGGACUCGACCCCUACACAUGGCCAACGAUGACAGCUGUCAACGACGACGACCUAAAACCUGAUGUACGGGGUACGGUGCGCAAGGAACCAUGCAAAAACUAAGUGUAAUACUAGCUGUAACAAAUGAAACAUAUGUAACAGCACGUGUGUAAUAACAUGCAUUUAUAUGUCAUAAAA